rnacentral:rRNA from 1 species
CUAGCGGCAGGCCUAAUACAUGCAAGUCCUACGGAUCCAGCUUUCGGGCUGGUGAGAGUGGCGCACGGGUGCGUAACACGUAUGCAACCUACCUUUAACUGGGGGAUAGCCUUUCGAAANNGAGAUUAAUACCGCAUAAAACAGCAGCACUGCAUGGUGUCACUGUUAAAGCUUCGGUGGUUAAAGAUGGGCAUGCGUUGCAUUAGCUAGUUGGUAAGGUAACGGCUUACCAAGGCUACGAUGCAUAGGGGAUCUGAGAGGAUGAUCCCCCACACUGGUACUGAGACACGGACCAGACUCCUACGGGAGGCAGCAGUAAGGAAUAUUGGUCAAUGGGCGCAAGCCUGAACCAGCCAUGCCGCGUGCAGGAAGACGGCCCUAUGGGUUGUAAACUGCUUUUAUCGGGGAAUAAACCUCAUUACGUGUAAUGAGUUGAAGGUACCCGAAGAAUAAGGAUCGGCUAACUCCGUGCCAGCAGCCGCGGUAAUACGGAGGAUCCAAGCGUUAUCCGGAUUUAUUGGGUUUAAAGGGUGCGUAGGCGGUUUAUUAAGUCAGUGGUGAAAGCCCCGGAGCUCAACUUCGGAACUGCCAUUGAUACUGAUAGACUUGAGUACAGAUGAAGUGGGCGGAAUGUGACAAGUAGCGGUGAAUUGCUUAGAUAUGUCACAAAACACCGAUUGCGAAGGCAGCUCACUAAGUGUAACUGACGCUGAGGCACGAAAGCGUGGGGAUCAACAGGAUUAGA